rnacentral:lncRNA from 1 species
CCUGACCAGGAAAUACUGACCCUAUAUGACAGUGUUUCCCUCCUCCAGUACCCCCCCAACAGCCCAACUCCAGUCCUCCAGUACCCCCCAAACAGCCCAACUCCACUCCUCCAGUACCCCCAACAGCCCAACUCCAGUCCUCCAGUACCCCCCCAACAGCCCAACUCCACUCCUCCAGUACCCCCAACAGCCCAACUCCAGUCCUCCAGUACCCCCCCAACAGCCCAACUCCAGUCCUCCAGUACCCCCCCAACAGCCCAACUCCAGUCCUCCAGUGCCCAACUCCAGUCCUCCAGUACCCCCCAACAGCCCAACUCCAGUCCUCCAGUACCCCCAACAGCCCAACUCCAGUCCUCCAGUACCCCCAACAGCCCAACUCCAGUCCUCCAGUACCCCCCCAACAGCCCAACUCCAGUCCUCCAGUACCCCCAACAGCCCAACUACAGUCCUCCAGUACCCCCAACAGCCCAACUCCACUCCUCCAGUACCCCCAACAGCCCAACUCCAGUCCUCCAGUACCCCCCCAACAGCCCAACUUCAGUCCUCCAGUACCCCCAACAGCCCAACUCCAGUCUUCCAGUACCCCCCAACAGCCCAACUCCAGUCCCCCCAACAGUCCAACUCCAGUCCUCCAGUACCCCCAACAGCCCAACUCCAGUCCUCCAGUACCCCCCCAACAGCCCAACUCCAGUCCUCCAGUACCCCCAACAGCCCAACUCCAGUCCUCCAGUACCCCCCAACAGCCCAACUCCAGUCCUCCAGUACCCCCAACAGCCCAACUCCAGUCCUCCAGUACCCCCAACAGCCCAACUCCAGUCCUCCAGUACCCCCCAACAGCCCAACUCCAGUCCUCCAGUACCCCCAACAGCCCAACUCCAGUCCUCCAGUACCCCCCCAACAGCCCAACUCCAGUCCUCCAGUACCCCCCCAACAGCCCAACUCCAGUCCUCCAGUACCCCCCCAAACAGCCCAACUCCACUCCUCCAGUACCCCCAACAGCCCAACUCCAGUCCUCCAGUACCCCCCCCCAACAGCCCAACUCCAGUCCUCCAGUACCCCCCCCAACAGCCCAACUCCAGUCCUCCAGUGCCCAACUCCAGUCCUCCAGUACCCCCCAACAGCCCAACUCCAGUCCUCCAGUACCCCCCCAACAGCCCAACUCCAGUCCUCCAGUACCCCCCCAACAGCCCAACUCCAGUCCUCCAGUACCCCCCCAACAGCCCAACUCCAGUCCCCCCAACAGUCCAACUCCAGUCCUCCAGUACCCCCCCAAACAGCCCAACUCCACUCCUCCAGUACCCCCAACAGCCCAACUCCAGUCCUCCAGUAACCCCCAAACAGCCCAACUCCAGUCCUCCAGUACCCCCCCAAACAGCCCAACUCCACUCCUCCAGUACCCCCAACAGCCCAACUCCAGUCCUCCAGUACCCCCCCAACAGCCCAACUCCAGUCCUCCAGUACCCCCCCAACAGCCCAACUCCAGUCCUCCAGUGCCCAACUCCAGUCCUCCAGUACCCCCCAACAGCCCAACUCCAGUCCUCCAGUACCCCCCAACAGCCCAACUCCAGUCCUCCAGUACCCCCAACAGCCCAACUCCAGUCCUCCAGUACCCCCCCAACAGCCCAACUCCAGUCCCCCCAACAGUCCAACUCCAGUCCUCCAGUACCCCCAACAGCCCAACUCCAGUCCUCCAGUACCCCCAACAGCCCAACUCCAGUCCUCCAGUACCCCCAACAGCCCAACUCCAGUCCUCCAGUACCCCCCAACAGCCCAACUCCAGUCCUCCAGUACCCCCAACAGCCCAACUCCAGUCCUCCAGUACCCCCCAACAGCCCAACUCCAGUCCCCCCAACAGUCCAACUCCAGUCCUCCAGUACCCCAACAGCCCAACUCCAGUCCUCCAGUACCCCCCCAACAGCCCAACUCCAGUCCUCCAGUACCCCCAACAGCCCAACUCCAGUCCUCCAGUACCCCCCAACAGCCCAACUCCAGCCCUCCAGUACCCCCAACAGCCCAACUCCAGUCCUCCAGUACCCCCAACAGCCCAACUCCAGUCCUCCAGUACCCCCCAACAGCCCAACUCCAGUCCUCCAGUACCCCCAACAGCCCAACUCCAGUCCUCCAGUACCCCCAACAGCCCAACUCCAGUCCUCCAGUACCCCCCCAACAGCCCAACUCCAGUCCUCCAGUACCCCCCCAAACAGCCCAACUCCACUCCUCCAGUACCCCCAACAGCCCAACUCCAGUCCUCCAGUACCCCCCCAACAGCCCAACUCCAGUCCUCCAGUACCCCCCCAACAGCCCAACUCCAGUCCCCCCAACAGUCCAACUCCAGUCCUCCAGUACCCCCAACAGCCCAACUCCAGUCCUCCAGUACCCCCAACAGUCCAACUCCAGUCCUCCAGUACCCCCAACAGCCCAACUCCAGUCCUCCAGUACCCCCAACAGCCCAACUCCAGUCCUCCAGUACCCCCCAACAGCCCAACUCCAGUCCUCCAGUACCCCCCAACAUCCCAACUCCAGUCCUCCAGUACCCCCCCAACAGCCCAACUCCAGUCCUCCAGUACCCCCCCAACAGCCCAACUCCACUCCUCCAGUACCCCCCCAACAGCCCAACUCCAGUCCUCCAGUACCCCCCCAACAGCCCAACUCCAGUCCUCCAGUACCCCCCCAACAGCCCAACUCCAGUCCUCCAGUACCCCCCCAACAGCCCAACUCCAGUCCUCCAGUACCCCCACUCAUUUUUGUUGUUGGCCCAGAAGACAAAUUCCCCUGAUUGAACUAAUUGAGGACUUGAUGAAGUUGAAUCGGGUGUGCUUGUUUGGGGCUACAACAACAAUGUGUUCUGUUGUAGGACUGGAGGGGGGAAACGAUGCUAUAUGGGUACCGGUGGUGGGAAAAGUACUAAAAAUCUCAUUCUGUAGUAAAAGUGAAGAUAUUUUAAUAGAAAAUUACUCAAGUAAAAUUUUGUCAUCCAGUAAAAUACUACUUGAGUAAAAGUAUUUGUUUUUAAAUAUACUUAAGUAUCAAAAGUAAAAGUAUGAAUAACUAAAAAUUCCUUAUAUUAAGAAAACCAGACGUCACAAUUUUCUUGUUUUUUAUUUUCUCGGACAGCCAGGGGAACACUCCAACACUCAGACAUAAUUUAAAAACAAAGCAUUUGUGUUUAGUGAGUCCUCCAGAUCAGAGGCAGUAGGGAUGACCAGGGAUGUUCUCUGUUUAGUGAGUCCUCCAGAUCAGAGGCAGUAGGGAUGACCAGGGAUGUUCUCUGUUUAGUGAGUCCUCCAGAUCAGAGGCAGUAGGGAUGACCAGGGAUGUUCUCUGUUUAGUGAGUCCACCAGAUCAGAGGCAGUAGGGAUGACCAGGGAUGUUCUCUGUUUAGUGAGUCCUCCAGAUCAGAGGCAGUAGGGAUGACCAGGGAUGUUCUCUGUUUAGUGAGUCCACCAGAUCAGAGACAGUAGGGAUGACCAUGGAUGUUCUCUUGAUAAGUAUGCGAAUUGGACCAUUUUCUGUCCUGCUAAGCAUUCAAAAUGUACUUUUGGGUGUCAGGGAAAAUGUAUGGAGUAAAAUGUACAUAAUUUUCUUUCGGAAUGUAGUGAAGUAAAAGUCAAAAAUAUAAAUGGUAGAGUACAGAUACCCAAAAAAACACCACUGAUGGGUGCCUUAACCCAGUUAGGGAGGGUGUUUUAUAACUCUUUGCAUGACAGUAUGACACAGGGAAACUAACUGGCAAUAAUAUUUGCUGACUUGAAAAUGUGAAAUUUGUACAUUUAGCUACAUCAAAUGUUGCCCACCUUCUCCAAGUACAACAGAGCUUUUAUUAUGGUUCUGACUAGAUGGAAUACAGACUUUUUCGUAGCAGGUUAGGAGAAUGAGGUUACAGUUGUGAAAAGGGUUAGCUAAAAUGCUCUCCUAGCCUGCUAUGAAAAGUCACUUCCUGGUUGUAGCUGUACUCCAUCUUGUCCAGGGUUUCCCCAAACUCUUUUUGUUGCCAUAGCUCUACACAGCUGAUUCAAAUAAUCAACGAAUCAUCAAGCUGUGAUCAUUUGAAUCAACUGUGUAGUGUUAGGGGGGCAAAAAUCUAAAUGUGCACCCCUUGGGGUCCUGAGGACCUUGGGAAAUGCUGAUCUAGUCACAAGCCUGUAUUAUUGUCUUGACUCAAUGUGUGAAUCCCUUCCCUAGUUGGUCCCGUGUAGCUCAGCUGGUAGAGCAUGGUGUUUGCAACGCCAGGGUUUUGGGUUCGAUUCCCACGGGGGGCCAGUAUGGAAAAAAAUCUAUGAAAUGUAUGUUUUGGGUAAGAGUGUCUGCUAAAUGACUAAAAUGUAAAAAUGUGAUGUACUGUGACAUGUGUAAAAAUAAAAUUGCUGUAAAUGAAUGAGUAUAAAAUAAA